rnacentral:rRNA from 1 species
UUUAAAGUGGUACGCGAGCUGGGUUUAGAACGUCGUGAGACAGUUCGGUCCCUAUCUGCCGUGGGCGCUGGAGAACUGAGGGGGGCUGCUCCUAGUACGAGAGGACCGGAGUGGACGCAUCACUGGUGUUCGGGUUGUCAUGCCAAUGGCACUGCCCGGUAGCUAAAUGCGGAAGAGAUAAGUGCUGAAAGCAUCUAAGCACGAAACUUGCCCCGAGAUGAGUUCUCCCUGAGACUUAGAGUCUCCUGAAGGAACGUUGAAGACGACGACGUUGAUAGGCCGGGUGUGUAAGCGCAGCGAUGCGUUGAGCUAACCGGUACUAAUGAACCGUGAGGCUUAACCUUAC